UGUAUGCUCCCUAUAGGUUGCACAAUAUCACCGGAGAAGCUUAUCAGAGGAGAAAUCGAGCGAUCAAGCAAGUGUUCAGCUACAUUAAGUGCCCUGAAAGCUUCAGCAAACAUGAUAUUAACCGAAGCCCCCGUGUCUACCAAGAUUCUUCUUACUUCAAAGUUGGUUAUGUGAGCCUCCACGAUCAGUGGGUCAUUGUGAGGGUAGAUGAUACCUCUUUCUUCCUCAGGGUAGAAACAUAUUGGAUCCCAGUUAGGCUUUUAAUACUUGCCUCCCCUAAUGUCUUCCACGUGAAACACGUGGUGGCCAGGCUUUAAAGCUUGUUUGCUGUUUUUCAUGGCCUUAUUGGAAGAUUCAGAUAUGGGUGUGCUGCCGCUUAUGGAAUAUAUCAAAUUCACUUGGCAUUGGUUAUGGUUAUCCCUUGAAUGGUGAAGGAGGAAUCGAUCAAUUUUUCCUUCACGCACCAAAGC
rnacentral:lncRNA from 1 species